AGUGAACGCUGGCGGCGUGCUUAACACAUGCAAGUCGAACGAGAACGGAAUAUAGCUUGCUAUAUUUGUCAGCUAAGUGGCGCACGGGUGAGUAAUGUAUAGAUAACCUGCCCUUAAGAAAGGAACAACAGUUGGAAACGACUGCUAAUGCCCUAUAUGCCUUUAACACAUAAGUAUGCAAGGGAAACGCUUUAGUGCUUAAGGAUGGGUCUGUAUGGUAUCAGCUUGUUGGUGAGGUAAUGGCUCACCAAGGCUAUGACGCCUAGCUGGUUUGAGAGGAUGAACAGUCACACUGGAACUGAGACACGGUCCAGACUACUACGGGAGGUAGCAGUGGGGAAUAUUGCACGAUGGACGAAAGUCUGAUGCAGCAACGCCGCGUGGAGGAUGACACAUUUCGGUGCGUAAACUCCUUUUAUAUAGGAAGAUAAUGACGGUACUAUAUGAAUAAGCACCGGCUAACUCCGUGCCAGCCGCCGCUGUAACAC
rnacentral:rRNA from 1 species